rnacentral:rRNA from 1 species
AUGGCUCCGUCGCAGCCCAAGUCGGGCCUCUUCGUGGGCAUCAACAAGGGCCACGUCGUCACCAAGCGCGAGCUGCCGCCGCGCCCGUCCGACCGCAAGGGGAAAGGUACCAAGAGGGUGCAUUUCGUCAGGAACUUGAUCAGGGAGGUAGCUGGGUUUGCUCCGUAUGAGAAGCGUAUCACUGAGCUUCUCAAGGUUGGCAAGGACAAGCGUGCCCUGAAGGUGGCGAAGCGAAAGUUGGGUACCCACAAGAGGGCGAAGAAGAAGAGAGAGGAGAUGUCCAGUGUCCUCAGGAAGAUGAGAUCUGCUGGAACUGGAACCGAGAAGAAGAAAUAG